UACGAAGGGGGCUAGCGUUGCUCGGAAUCACUGGGCGUAAAGAGCUCGUAGGCGGUCUGUCGCGUCGGUCGUGAAAACUUGGGGCUUAACCCUGAGCUUGCGGUCGAUACGGGCAUGACUGGAGUUCGGCAGGGGAGACUGGAAUUCCUGGUGUAGCGGUGAAAUGCGCAGAUAUCAGGAAGAACACCCGUGGCGAAGGCGGCUCUCUGGGACGGUACUGACGCUGAGACGCGAAAGCGUGGGGAGCGAACAGG
rnacentral:rRNA from 1 species